AGUCGGAUGCCGUCAAGUGCUGUGCAGAGUCGCUCCGUUUGAAAUCGUCAGGAGGAUGAAAUCGCUGCCUUUAUUCGGCGUGUUCCUGACUUUAUUAACCCGUGUCCAUUCCGAUGUCGUGUUAACUCAGCCCGCGGCGGAGACAGCCACACCCGGAGGAUCAGUGAAGCUCACCUGUAAAACCAGCGGGUUUGCUCUCAGCAGCUACUAUAUGAGCUUGGUCCGUCAGGUCACCGGACAGGGGCUGGAAUGGCUCCUUGCAUACCACAGUUCUUCAUACCAGUAUUACGCCCCGGGGAUCCGGAACAGAUUCACUCCGUCCAAAGACUCCACAAACAAUAUGUUCACCGUUGAUGUGACCCAGCUACAAACGGACGAUACCGCUGUCUAUUACUGUGCGAGAGACACAGUGCGGCGAACAAGAUGUGACAAUCUUGAUUACUGGGGAGGAGGCACCAUGUUGACGGUGACAACCGCGGCAGAGUCCCAACCCACCGUCUACCCUCUCCUUUCAUGUGAGCAAUCCAGUGCCACUGAAACAUUGACCUUCGGCUGCUUGGCAACGAAUUACUCUCCGGUGGGUAUCAACGUGUCCUGGACGACAGAUGAAGCGACAAUCACAACAGGAGUGAACACCUAUCCAUCUGUGUUCAACAAGAAAGGAACUUACACUCGCAGCAGCCGGUUAAUUCUCACCGAGACACAAGCGAGGAGCAGCGCCAUCUAUUGUGUCGUUCAGCAUCAAGAUUCAGUCCAGAAAAUUAAAAUCCCAUGGCGAGUGCAUCAUCCAAACGUUGUUAUCUCCGUGAACACCCCUGAAGAUAUUAAGAAGAGCAGACAAGGGACUGCAGUCUGUUCUCUGACCGACUUCCAACCGGCGGAAUUCACCGUGACCUGGCUGAAAAAUGGACAGCAGGUGAAUUCCGGCGUCAUCACCUCCCCUGCUUUUGACAUGAAUGGGAACUUCUCAGCGACAAGCCAGGUGACUUUCACGGCGACGGAAUGGUUCGCAGGCUCUGUCUAUACCUGCCAGGUUACGCACAAAGAUUACAUGCAAAGCCGAAAUAUCAGCGAAACUCCAGAAACAUGCGAAGCUGUACAAGUAACAAUUGAACCACCACCAGUGGAGCAGGUCUUACUGGAGGCGAGGGUCACCUUAACCUGCGUCAUCACUAAUGCGCCUUACGGCGUCCAAGUGUCCUGGAGGCGAGGAGAGAAUGUGUUGAAAACAGAGACUGCCCACCAGCAAGAAGAUCCCCCCCAUAGAGUGAUCAGCCAACUGAAUAUUUCGACACAAGCUUGGCUGAGUGGGGACUUAUUCGAAUGCGUGGUUAGCCACGAGGAAAUGCCGACACCAAAAAGAGCAUACAUCCGCAAGGAAAAACCUGAACAUCCUCAGGAACCAUCCGUCUCUGUCCUCCUUCCGCCAACAAGUGAAGAGUUCACAGAGAACACCGUCAUCCUCACCUGCUUAGUGAGAGGGUUCUCGCCUCGGGAGAUUUUCGUCACGUGGACGGUCGAUGACACGCGGGUGGAUUCACGUAACUACACGAAUACCGCAGUUGCGGCAGAGAACGGCAACAAUUCAUUCUUCAUGUACAGCCUGUUGUCUGUUCGUUCGGAACAAUGGUCUCGAGGUGCUUCUUUCUCCUGUGUUGUGGCACAUGAAACCCUCCCGAUGAAGAUCAUCUCAAGAACCGUUAAUCGGUCCAGUGAUUUUGCAGAAGACAUCCGGAUUGAAGACUAUGGGGAAGACACAGAGAACUUAUGGACGACUGCUUCCACAUUCAUCAUCUUAUUCUUCCUGAGUAUUUCCUACAGCGCUGCCCUAACUUUAGUGAAGGUGAAGUGAUCACUCGAAAAUAGGAAGGAGCGGAUUUUUCUUACUGAACUAUUCACAUCUGCGAUAACAUGCAAGAAUGUACCACCAUUUGAAGUUAGCAAAGCCAUGGACUGAAUUCGUGUUUUAAAGCUGGAAUGUUCAUCACUGCAACUUUAAUGUU